UCCUCUUCCUGGACAUUGAUCAUGUAAAGGAUUACAGAGGUUAAAGUUCAACGUGACAAUGUUAGUAAAUGAACCACAUGUUGUGUACCGUUUCAGAUUUUAUUUCAACAGUCAACAUACAUCUACUGCUUAUCAGCUUCAUCCAAAUGUCCACAUUGUCUGUUGUAAAACUAGCUAUAUUCUGACACAGCAACAACAACCCCAUAACAGACCUACUAUCUCUCACACACGUCCACACACUGUGGGAGCUGAACCUGUCUCAGGUCUGGGUCAGGACCACUGGUCUCAGGUCAGGGAUGGGACCACUGGUCUCAGGUCAGGGUUCAGGUCAGGACCACUGUUCUCAGGUCAGGGAUGGGACCACAGGGUUCAGGUCAGGGAUGGGACCACUGACCUCAGGACAGGGUUCAGGUCAGGGAUGGGACCACUGACCUCAGGACAAGGUUCAGGUCAGGGAUGGGACCACUGGUCUCAGGACAGGGAAGGGACCACUGGUCUCCAGUCAGAACUUAUUCAAAGCCUUUACCACAGGUAUCAGUCAUUACAUCAUUCCUUUACCACAGGUAUCAGUCAUUACAUCAUUCCUUUACCACAGGUAUCAGUCAUUACAUCAUUCCUUAACCACAGGUAUCAGACAUUACAUCAUUCCUUUACCACAGGUAUCAAUCAUUACAUCAUUCCUUUACCACAGGGUUCAAUCAUCUCACCUGUAAGCUUCGUCUAGUGACAUGUCCAUCCUCGUCAUGAUGUAAGCGAUAGCGAUGGUUGCCGAGCGGGAGAUGCCAGCCAGACAGUGGACCAGCACACAGGCGUUGGAGGCUUUGGCCUUCUCUAUGAACUCUACAGAUCUGUCCAACCAGGGGAGGAUCUCUCGCAGAAGCUGUCGUUGACAGGAACUCGCAGGAAGUGAGACUCAGGGAUGGUAGUUGGUUUGGGACAUGUGUUACUGGCAUUCAGGACGUACGCUAUCUCAUUUCUGCUGCAUCACUUCCUGCAGAGGAGGAGAACA
rnacentral:lncRNA from 1 species